CUCGGUGAGCAGCUGGGCCUUCUCCACCGACUCCACAGUGACAGUGGUGGCCAUCUCCACACGCAGCUGCUGCUGGAAGAGGGUCUGCAGCUUCCACAGAGGCAGGUGCAGCUUGGGGCCGACGAGAGCAGCUGUCCGGCCUGCACGUCCAGGACCCCCACCCGCAGAGCCACAUCUGCUUCUCCGAGUCCCCGGAAAAUCAUCCCUCCGAGAGGAUGGAAGGAAGCAAGGUGCCAAAGAGCACGUGACAGCCACCCAGCAUUUGCCCGGCCUCACUGGGUGGGGGUGGGAACUACCUGGGGAGACACAGCUCAGGUCUCUGGGCAGUGAGCUCGUGUUUAAACUGGAAACUGUGCAAAUGCGUGACCCAUCCAAAAAGAGAAAUCGAAAACC